rnacentral:rRNA from 1 species
UACGUAGGGUGCAGGCGUUGUCCGGAAUUAUUGGGCGUAAAGAGCUCGUAGGCGGUUUGUCGCGUCUGCUGUGAAAACCCGCGGCUCAACCGCGGGCCUGCAGUCGAUACGGGCAGGCUAGAGUUCGGUAGGGGAGACUGGAAUUCCUGGUGUAGCGGUGAAAUGCGCAGAUAUCAGGAGGAACACCGGUGGCGAAGGCGGGUCUCUGGGCCGAUACUGACGCUGAGGAGCGAAAGCGUGGGGAGCGAACAGG